rnacentral:rRNA from 1 species
AGAGUUUGAUCCUGGCUCAGGAUGAACGCUGGCGGCGUGCUUAACACAUGCAAGUCGAACGAAGCACUUUAUUUGAUUUCCUUCGGGACUGAUUAUUUUGUGACUGAGUGGCGGACGGGUGAGUAACGCGUGGGUAACCUGCCUUGUACAGGGGGAUAACAGUUGGAAACGGCUGCUAAUACCGCAUAAGCGCACAGCAUCGCAUGAUGCAGUGUGAAAAACUCCGGUGGUAUAAGAUGGACCCGCGUUGGAUUAGCUAGUUGGUGAGGUAACGGCCCACCAAGGCGACGAUCCAUAGCCGACCUGAGAGGGUGACCGGCCACAUUGGGACUGAGACACGGCCCAAACUCCUACGGGAGGCAGCAGUGGGGAAUAUUGCACAAUGGGCGAAAGCCUGAUGCAGCGACGCCGCGUGAGCGAAGAAGUAUUUCGGUAUGUAAAGCUCUAUCAGCAGGGAAGAUAAUGACGGUACCUGACUAAGAAGCACCGGCUAAAUACGUGCCAGCAGCCGCGGUAAUACGUAUGGUGCAAGCGUUAUCCGGAUUUACUGGGUGUAAAGGGAGCGCAGGCGGUGCGGCAAGUCUGAUGUGAAAGCCCGGGGCUCAACCCCGGUACUGCAUUGGAAACUGUCGUACUAGAGUGUCGGAGGGGUAAGCGGAAUUCCUAGUGUAGCGGUGAAAUGCGUAGAUAUUAGGAGGAACACCAGUGGCGAAGGCGGCCUACUGGGCUUUAACUGACGCUGAGGCACGAAAGUGUGGGUAGCAAACAGGAUUAGAUACCCUGGUAGUCCACACUGUAAACGAUGAUUACUAGGUGUGGGGGGUCUAACCCCCUCCGUGCCGGAGUUAACACAAUAAGUAAUCCACCUGGGGAGUACGACCGCAAGGUUGAAACUCAAAGGAAUUGACGGGGGCCCGCACAAGCAGUGGAGUAUGUGGUUUAAUUCGACGCAACGCGAAGAACCUUACCAGGUCUUGACAUCCAACUAACGAAGCAGAGAUGCAUUAGGUGCCCUUCGGGGAAAGUUGAGACAGGUGGUGCAUGGUUGUCGUCAGCUCGUGUCGUGGGAUGUUGGGUUAAGUCCCGCAACGAGCGCAACCCUUGUGAUUAGUUGCUACGCAAGAGCACUCUAAUCAGACUGCCGUUGACAAAACGGAGGAAGGUGGGGACGACGUCAAAUCAUCAUGCCCUUUAUGACCUGGGCUACACACGUACUACAAUGGUCGUUAACAGAGGGAAGCAAUACCGCGAGGUGGAGCAAAACCCUAAAAACGGUCUCAGUUCAGAUUGUAGGCUGCAACUCGCCUACAUGAAGUUGGAAUUGCUAGUAAUCGCGGAUCAGCAUGCCGCGGUGAAUACGUUCCCGGGCCUUGCACACACCGCCCG